GUUCGCCCAUUAAAGUGGUACGCGAGCUGGGUUCAGAACGUCGUGAGACAGUUCGGUCCCUAUCCGUCGCAGGCGUAGGAAAUUUGAGAAGACCUGUCCUUAGUACGAGAGGACCGGGAUGGACGUACCUCUGGGGUACCAGUUGUCCUGCCAAGGGCAUGGCUGGGUAGCUGUGUACGGAAUGGAUAAGCGCUGAAAGCAUCUAAGCGCGAAGCCAACUUCAAGAUAAGAUUUCCCACCGCAAGGGUAAGACCCCAGAAAGACUAUCUGGUUGAUAGGUCGAAGGUGUAAGU
rnacentral:rRNA from 1 species